AACGAACGCUGGCGGCAGGCUUAACACAUGCAUGUCGAACGCCCCGCAAGGGGAGUGGCAGACGGGUGAGUAACGCGUGGGAAUCUACCUAGUUCUACGGAACAACUGAGGGAAACUUCAGCUAAUACCGUAUACGCCCUACGGGGGAAAGAUUUAUCGGAAUUAGAUGAGCCCGCGUAAGAUUAGCUAGUUGGUGGGGUAAUGGCCUACCAAGGCGACGAUCUUUAGCUGGUCUGAGAGGAUGAUCAGCCACACUGGGACUGAGACACGGCCCAGACUCCUACGGGAGGCAGCAGUGGGGAAUCUUAGACAAUGGGGGAAACCCUGAUCUAGCCAUGCCGCGUGAUCGAUGAAGGCCUUAGGGUUGUAAAGAUCUUUCAGUGGGGAAGAUAAUGACUGUACCCACAGAAGAAGCCCCGGCUAACUCCGUGCCAGCCGCCGCUGUAAAAC
rnacentral:rRNA from 1 species